GAGGAAAGAGGGGGGCGUGCUUAACACAUGCAAGUCGAACGGUGAAGGCGGAGCUUGCUCUGCUGGAUCAGUGGCGAACGGGUGAGUAACACGUGAGCAAUCUGCCCCUGACUCUGGGAUAAGCGCUGGAAACGGCGUCUAAUACUGGAUACGAGCUGCGAAGGCAUCUUCAGCAGCUGGAAAGAAUUUCGGUCAGGGAUGAGCUCGCGGCCUAUCAGCUUGUUGGUGAGGUAAUGGCUCACCAAGGCGUCGACGGGUAGCCGGCCUGAGAGGGUGACCGGCCACACUGGGACUGAGACACGGCCCAGACUCCUACGGGAGGCAGCAGUGGGGAAUAUUGCACAAUGGGCGAAAGCCUGAUGCAGCAACGCCGCGUGAGGGACGACGGCCUUCGGGUUGUAAACCUCUUUUAGCAGGGAAGAAGCGAAAGUGACGGUACCUGCAGAAAAAGCGCCGGCUAACUACGUG
rnacentral:rRNA from 1 species